AGAUGAAGUCUUGCUUGUUGCCCCGGCUAGAGCGUAGUGGCGCAAUCUUGGCUCACUGCAACCUUCACCACCCCAGUUCAAGCGAUUCUCCUGCCUCAGCCUCCCGAGUAGCUGGGAUUGCAGGCGCCUGCCACUGUGCCCGGCUAAUUUUAAUUUAAUUUUAAUUUAUUUUAUAUAUAUAUAGAGAGAGAGAGAGGGAGAGAGACAGACAGACAUGGAGUCUUGCUCUGUCACCCAGGCAGGAGUGUAGUGGCUCGAUCUCGGUUCACUGUAACUUCCGCCUCCUGGGUUCAAGCGAUUCUCAUGCCUCAGCAUCCAGAGUAGCCGAGAUUACAGGCACACCUUGCCACGCCUGGCUAAUUUUUGUAUUUUUAGUAGAGACGGGUUUCCCUAUAUUGGCCAGGCUGGUCUCCAACCCCUGACCUCUGGUAAUCUGCCUGCCUCGGCCUCCCAAAGUAUUGGGAUUACAGGCGUGAGCCACUGUGCCCAGCCUUAUCUGACUAUUACUGUAACAGUGGCCAAUCAAAAUUCCUUCUUUUCUUUUUUUUUUUCCUUGAGCCUAGAAAUUUCUUAAUUGAGGGGAGAAUCUAGCAAGCAGUUGAGUCAAAGGGUGUAGAUUAUACUACAGUGGUAAAGAAAGUAAGCAGCUGGCAGUGAAAGCAAUCUCAAGCAAAUAAUGAAUGUUCCAUGAACAAGAUGCCUGAAUUGAAAAACAGAACAAAACCAACUAACCAAACAAAAAACAAUCCGUGGAUCCUAACUCAAAUCCAAGGUGAUUUGAGCCUGCACUUGUAAUUAGACAAAAUCUAUGAACUUCAGUUGCCUUGGAGGCAUCUGAGGGAAAUGAGGUUGCAUGUAGAUGAAUCAGUUGUUUCUGGCAUCAUGUUAGUGUGAUUACAUUUAGCUGCUGUGUGCAAAACAUUUUAGCAAUCAUUUAGGUCCAGGACGUGGAAUUUAUUAGUGCAACAACCCUGUAAACAGUGGUUAGAACAUUAAUAAUUUUAUUUUAUUUAUGUUUUAUUUAUUUUUUGAGACGGAUUUUUGCUCUUGUUGCCCAGGUUGGAGUGCAAUGGCGCGAUCUCGGCUGACUGCAACCUCCACCUCCUGGAUUCAAGCUAUUCUCCUGCCUCAGCCUGCCGAGUAGCUGGGAUUACAGGCAUGUGCCACCGCACCCAGCUAAUUUUGUAUUUUUUAGUAGAGAUGGGGUUUCUCCAUGUUGGUCAGGCUGGUCUUGAACUCCUGACCUCAGGUGAUCCGCCCACCUCAGCCUCCCAAAGUGCUGGGAUUACAGGCGUGAGCCACCGCGCCCGGCCAGAACAUUAGUUUUAAACUUCCUAACCCUUGGGAGAAGGCAAAACACUUGAUGAAAUCUACAUAAAGACUAAAACAUUUUACCAAUUUUGCAUUGUUUGUUUGAAAUUGCAUUGACGACUGAACUCCUAGUACAGCGUUGACUAGAAGUGGUGAGAAAGCUGGCACAGUGGCUCAUGCAAGUAAUCCCAGCGCUUUGGGAGGCCAGGGCGGGUGGAUCGCUUGAGUCCAGGAGUUCAAGACUACCCUGGGCAACAUGGCGAAACCCUGUCUCUACAAAAAAAAAAUAUAUAGUAGCCAGGCAUGGUGGCAUGCGCCUGUAGUCCCAGCUGCCAGGGAGGCUGAGGUGGGAGGAUUACUUGAGUCUGGGAAGUCAAGGCUGCAGUGAGCCAUGAUUGUGCCACUGCACUCCAGCCUGGGCAACAGAGACCCCGUCUCAAAGAAAAACAAACAACUCCCCCCCCACCACACACAAAAGGAGUGGUGAGAAUGGGAAUCUAUGUCUUAUUCCCAUCUUCUGGAGAAAGUAAAGCAUUAAGUCUUUCUCCAUUAAGAAUGACGUUAGUUAUAGGUUUUUGUUAUUGUUGUCUUAUAGGUUUCUUUUGUUAGAUUAAGUAAGUUCUUUUUCAUUCUCACUUUUAGGAGAGUUUUAAAGCCUUGAAUGGGUUUUCAGUUUAGUCAAAUGCUAUUUUUAUGUCCAUCGAGGUGAUAAUAUAUAUAUUUUAAAUGUAAUAUAUUGAACUGCAUUGAUUGAAUUUUGAGUUAUGAAACAGGCCUACAUUUUAUGAUAAACCCUACUUUCUCAUGAUAUAAUUUAUCCAAUUUGCAUAUUGUUGGAUUAGAUUUCCUAAUAUUUUGUUAAGAAUUGUUGCAUUUGAGUCAACUUAGGUACCCAAAUGGUUGGCUAGAUAAAAUGUGGUAUAUUUAUAUCAUGUAAUACUAUACAGCCAUAAAAAAUGAAACCAUGUCCUUUGCAGCAACAUGGAUAUAGCUGGAGACCUUUAUCCUAAGCAUAUUAAUGCAGGAACGGAAAAGCAAAUACCCCAUGUUCUCCCUUAUUCAUGAGAACUAAACAUGAGUACACAUGUUCACAUAAAUGUCUAAUGUGAACAAUAGACACCAGGGCCUACUCAAGAGAGGGUGGUGGAAGGAGGGUGAAGAUCAAAAAACUACCUAUUGGGUACUAUGCUCACUACCUGGGUGAUUAAAUAAUUUGUACACCAAACCCCAGUGACACAGAAUUUACCCAUGUAACAAAACUGCACAUGUAUACCUUGAAACCAAAAUAAAAGUUGAAAAAAAAAAAAAAACCACCCAUGGAUUGUUGCAUUUAUCUUCAUGAGGAAGAUUGGAAUGUGAUUUCCUUUUCUUAUAAUGUCUUUAUGAGGUUUUAGUAUCACGGUGUUUAUGGCCACAUUAAAAUGAGUAGGACAGUAAGUAAUACCUCUUCAGUUUUCUGUAAUGAUUUUUUUAGAAUCCAUAUUUUAUUUUAUUUUAUUUUUUUGAGACGGAGUCUUGCUUUGUUGCCCAAGCUGGAGUGCAGUGGCGUGAUCUCGGCUCACUGCAACCUCUGCCGCCUCGUUUCAAGCGAUUCUCCCUGCCUCAGUCUCCCAAGUAGCUGGGAUUGCUGGUGUGCGCCACCACAUCCAGCUAAUUUUUUUUGUAUGUUUAGUAGAGAUGGGGUUUCACCAUGUUGGCCAGGCUGGUCUGGAACUCCUGACCUCAGAUCAUCCGCCCACCUCGACCUCCCAAAGUGCUGGGAUUACAGGUGUGAGCCACUGCAUCCGGCCUAGAAUCCAUAUUUUUUAAUCCUUGAAUGUUUUGGUAGAAUUCACUUGUGAAUUUAUCAGUGAAACAGCUUGGUCUGUUGUUUUCCUUAUGGAAGUUUUAAAAUUACUAAUUCUAUGUCAUUAAUGGAUAUAUGAAUAUUCAGGUUAUAUGUAGAUAUAUUUGUUGUUGUUGUGUUGUUUUGUUUUGUUUUUUGAGAUGAAGUCUCGUUCUUGUCCCCCAGGCUGGAGUGCAAUGGCGCCAUCUCGUCUCACUGCAACUUCCGCCUCCCGGGUUCAAGCGAUUCUCCUGCCUCAGCCUCCCAAGUAGCUGGGAUUACAGGUGCCUGCCACCACGCCCGAUUUUUUUUUUUUUUUCUUUUGAGACAUUCUCACUCUGUUGCCCAGGCUGGAGUGCACUGUGCAAUGGUGUGAUCGCGGCUCACUGCAACCUCCACCUCCGGGGUUCAAGUGAUUCUUGAGUCUCAGCCUCCCAAAGUACCUGGGACUAUAGGUGCGCACCACCACACCCGGCUAAUUUUUGUAUUUUUAGUAGC
rnacentral:lncRNA from 1 species